GGCGGGGAGUCGGGAUGUCUGUGUUUCGGGGCCCCUCGCUCCGUCAGGGGCUCGCCCGGAGCAGGGAGAGCCGAGCCUAUGGAGCCGCCCGGGAGGCCUGCGGAGACGAGGCUUUCCCGUCGGGCGGAGCCCGCGGGCGGAGGUCGAGAUUUCUUGUGGAGCUUAGCCGUCAGCCCCCUCGGAACUAGGAGGAGAGAUGAAAUGUUGUUUCUGGGUCCAUGCUCCAUUAUUAUUAUUGUUAUCGUUAUUGGUUUAAGUAUUUUCUGAUUGUCCAUGUGGAUUCCUGGAGUGUCCCCAAGGGACAGGGAAGUGGCUAGUGUCUGGGUUUCCUUUUGCACUUGCUGGGUUUAGUGUCAGAGAGCCUGGGUGGCCAGACUUAUCGGUGGGUCACCCUCCAUUUUCUUUGCUUUUAAUGUAAUAUGACACUGUCAUUUAGAAAGUAUCUGCCUUUCUUAAGUCUGUGGCCCUGGGUGACUUUAGAUAGGACAUCCAAGUUUCUCCUCUGGGCUUUCAUGGUGUUUUGUUCAGGACAUUAAAGCUGGAAUCACAGUGUAUAACAAUUGUUUAUCUGUCUUGUCACAGUCAUUUAUGAGCCUGGCUUACAUUUUAUUCAUUUUGGACUUCUUCCCCACCAGGAGAUUACCACAGUGCCUAUCAUGUAAGAUACUCAUAAAUAUUGAAAAGUAUAAAUGAAUUAACAGCUGGUGGUAGGUUGGAUGGAAUCUGUGAUUUUUAUUUCAUAGAGAAGAGAGGUAAAUGACUUAAGAGAACCUUAGAGAUAAAACUAGGACUAGAAUUUGAGUCAGUUGACCCAUAGCCUGCAGCUCUUGCCAUCCGGUCAGGCUUUGAAAUUCUGGAACACUGAAAAUAAGACCUUGUCACUCUUUUGUGUACCCCCAGCCUUGCUGUCUUCAGCAUGGGUCCCUAAAGAUCAAAGGUAGGCUCAACUUAAGGCCUGAGAGAGGUCCCAGACUUGGAGCAGCCAGUCUACUAAUGUUGGCACUGUGUGGCGAGAUGCAAAGCAAGGGCCCCUGAGACAACUGAGUUCUCCGAAGUUCCCUUCUCAGCGUUUGUUUGAGUUCAGUUGGCCGUGGGUAGCCACCCAGACAGAUCAGUUAAAGACUUCUGAGAUCAGUCUAGGGAAGGAUUUCCUAAGUUUGGCCCUGAUUUUUUUUUAAAUUUUUAUUUUUUGGGGUAUAGUUGAUUUAAGAUUUUUUUUUCUCUCUCCCACUUUCCCUAGGUUAGGGUGAGAGAACAGGUUGAUGGAUCAAGCUGUUGUGUCAACCUUGAGGUCGCAUCUCAGGGAAGAGGUUACUCUUGACCUGGGCAAGGGGUUGAGAGGGAGAAGAACCAUGGCCCCUGCCCUGAGGGAGGCCCAGAUGUGAUGGAGACAUGCCAGAGCCUGGCAAGCCCUCAGAAGCAAGCAGAGGGCAAAGCCGGCAGCUGAGCCUUGAGUGAACUCAGGAUGUAGAAGUGGAGAGGAGUCCAUCAGGAAAGGCUCCUCGGUAGAAGAAACACAGAUUGAAGUGAGACACCAGGAAAGCACUGCCCAACACGGGCCACUGGAAGAAGCUGCCGUGUUGCCUUUUGCGGGAAGUCCUUAAAACCUGGAUCUGAACGAGGAAACCGCUGGCCAGAGGCAGAGGGCUGGACGCAUGGCCUCUUACCCUCUUGGACCCUGCGCAGGUCAUGCACAUGGCAGCCGGCUUCAUAGCCAAAGUCAGCUCCAGGGCCCUCCAACCGGGGCACGGGCGGGGCUGCGGGAGAUGGUGGCUCCGAUUACCCCACAGCCAGCGGAUGACCCGCGGACUCAUCGUCUGCUCAACCUGCCCUAGUGUGCCGAGCGUGGGCCCCCAUCCGAGCCGCCUCUGGCACUGGGAGAAGGAAGGGUUGAGGGCCGGGUGGGAAGAGAGCAAGAGAAAGAACUUUCUGUAGCCAAAAAAGUCACUUUUCAGACCACCUCCCCGGUUCCCCCAUCCGACUCCAAACCUGAGGGUCCCAGGAGAGAGCGGGCAGCAUGCCUGCAGCAGAGGGAGGAGGGUAGAGCUCAGGGCUAGAGGGAACAGGAACUGUGUGUCAGCUACACGCCAUUCACACCUCUAGUGAAAGAGGCGGGUGGGGAGUAGAAAGAGGUGCGAACAGUGCGGAGGAGGAAGGCCAGGGAAGGAUAGGGACAGAAAAAUGAAGAUGGAAAGACACGUGAAGACUCAGAGAGAAAGUGAGAGAGAGGCAAGGGGAGACAGACAGAAACUCACCCAGAGAGGACGCUUCAACGGGCAGGGACUUUUCCUAAAGCCGGGUACAAAGCCAGAGAGACGGUGGUGUGAACAGACCUGGGGAGGACGGCGUCUGUGCCAGGUGGGCCCGCCCGUGCCCUGGGAGGGCACCUCCAGCUGGCUCCGGGCCUGUUUCCCAGCCCCAGCUCCACGCUGCUCCCUCCUCCCCCUCCCCCCCAGUGCCCUUGCCCUGUCCCCUCAUCUGUAAGAUCCUGGGAUUUGCAGGGACACUUAAUCCAUAUGGAGCUGAUUCAUUCCCAUCUAAAUCAUCUCCACGAGCUUCCCUAAGAGCGCUUGGAUGUGCCAGCCGCCAUCCCUCUCCCCCGGCGAUGGCGGGCUGGGGGCUGCCGGUAAACAAACCUCAGCCGCCAUCCAUCCAUCCUGGCGUCGUCCGUCAGUCCAGCCAAGACCAUUCAUCUCUCCAACCCUGCUCCCCACCCCCGCUUCGCUCCUCCAGUCCCUCCUUCUGUCUGUCUGUCCCUCUGUGUGUCCCCUCCUCCUCAUGCCCCUCAGCUAGAACCUCCACCUCUCUGCCUUGUCCCGGGUAGGAUCUUGGGGGGUCAUGUCGGCCGUGCCCCCACCUGCAGACAGGAGCCUUACCUCACCCCUGGCACAGCAAGACAGGGGCUCUCCUGGUUCACCGCCUUCCAAGAGGAAAGGUCUUCUGAUGAUUUUACUGUACGACGUUGACAACCUGUGCUCAAGGAAGUUCUUCCUUCUGUCUAGCUUGCGGGUCUGAGGUCCACAUAUGAUCACAUGUCUGAGCGGGGGUGAGGGUAAGAUUAUGGGGUUCUGUACAAACAUGAGGGUCUCCAGGAUUUGUAAUAUGUACUUCUCUGGGUCUCUAGCAGCAAGAGUCAGGCCCAGGCCAAGCACAUAGUGGAUGCUCCGUGUCAGUUGCUUACUGGCUACCAUCUUACCUGUCAGCUCCAGUGAGUCCAGGGGCCUCCCAUAUACCCCAGGGAGGUUUUCAGUGAACUGAUCCAGUGGGUUUGAUUCAGGGCCCGGAUCGUGGCACCUCUAGCCUGGCAGGGUUGGCAGGAAACACGAAGGAAGUGUCUCUCACUUCUGCCCUCCCACCCAAACUCCUUAGCCCUGUCCUGGGGGUGGUGUUUGCCCAGACAACUCUGUCUUGACCAUGAUGGGCUGAAGAGGAGGAGAGUGGGCAAGCAGGUGCUGGGUAUCUUCCUUGGCACCGAAGCAAAACCCUCACAUCUGGGGAAAGCCCUUAGGGUUACAUGGACCACUAAGGAGAGAGCGGGGGCAAUUGCUGCUCCUGGCCCCGGUCUUGGGCAUGGCGGCCCUUCCCCUCUCAGGUUCUUCAUGUCAGCCUGGGAAGGGUAACUCUGGGAACGGGCUGGGGCUCUGCUAGCCUCUCAUGAGAGGAGAAGGGAGCAUUUCUUCUGGUCUCAUCUCAGUUUCUCCAUCCACAGCAGCAGUGGGAGUGGGAGAACAAGGCUGUCUCUGGAGUAGAGUUUGGGUCAGACUCUAGCAGCCCUGCAGGGGGAUGAUUUGGGCAUGGGUGCAAGGGUUUAGGGUGGUGGAAGUGGAGCCACAGGGAGGGAUGAGGGCAGCAUUUGCGGAUCCCACAGUAACAGUGAGUGGGAGAGGCAGAGGAGAAGGAGGUGCGGAGGCCGAGUCUUCGGAUGGCCUGAGGGGGCUGGGGCUCCAGCCCCUCCCUGAGGCCCAGGACACCUUGCUGAGCAUCUGACCUCCCCCUCAGGCCAGACCAGACCAGGUAGAGAAUCCCACUGCACGGGUGCCCCCUCCUGCACUCUGGUUCGCAGCGCCUUUCCCCCUUGUCAUUGGUCCCCUCCAGGGAGCCGCUGUGAGUGCACAGAACAGGUGGGGCUCUCCCAGCUGCGAUCCAGCUGUGAAGAACCCUGACCAUGCCCCUCCCAUCCCCCUGCAGGAGAGAAGGUUCUAAUUCUAGCCAGAAAGAUGAGAAGGAUGGUACGGGGAGAGGGUCCAGAGGAGCGCGUGGAAGCUAACCACUUGCCCCAGUUGUGUGAACAUAUGUGUGGGAGGGGAGGGGCCUGCAGGUGGCAAGGCCCAGCUGAAGAAUGAUCGAGUGUUUCUUAGUUCUCUGAGCUAGAGACAUAUGGGCUAUAUAAGACCAAGCAAAACGAGAAAUUAUUGCUUAAGAGAGAGAGGACAUGGGGGGAUAAGAAAAAAUUCAAGCCAGAGAGACCCAAUGCCACUUGCCCCCUCACCAUCAUGACCUGAUCCAUCUGUGCUUGACUGGAUCAAAGUCCAAGGGGAGGGAGAGGUCUGAGAACUGACCCUCAGGGCCUCCGGCAGGGGAAAAGCUGAUCCUCCGAACGUGCAUUUCCCCGAUGUUACACAGAGCACGGGGAGCUGCGAACAGCCGCCCAAAUUCUCCAGGUGGGACAGUGGGUGGAGCUUUCUCCAUCUUCCUCCGUCCUUCUUGUGCCCGCCUCUCUCUCCAUCCCUCCCCUCUCUCUAGUCCAAUGGGGAACCAGUUCUCUCUUCUCCCGCUGGCCUGUCUCUCAUGGUUCUCCCCAGCACUGAGCCCUCCUCAUCCACUCAGUGGCUCCCACCUCUCUUGUCUCCUCUGGAUCUCCCCUUCCUGCACCAAGCCUCCUAGGCUUUGUCUAUCCUCACGUAGGCCCCUCCCCCUAAAUCAAGUUCACUUACCCAACCUUGUGACUGAUGGAACUCCUUUAGGGUCCACUGUGGGCUGGUGCCUUGGUCCAGCUCCAGGGUUGGAGUUUCUCUGGUCCGUCUGGCCUCUAUCACUCAACAUCCACAUGUCUGGUUUAGACUGUGACCUCCACAGGACUGGCAAGGAUCCAAGUGUUUAUGUGGUCACCAGCACAGCUCCGGGAGCAACCUGAUUUUUGAUAGAGUUGACAGCUUUUCUUUUGAUUCCAUGAAGCAGAAGUAGCUAGAAGGAUGCUGAGAGGUCUUAGAGGACCACUGAGUGUGACUAAGGCACUUCCUCCAGGGAAGCCACCUCCUGCUACAACAAGCAGUGACUGAGGCUGGACAGCAAGAACUUCUGAAGACUCUUAAGGUGGAAGGAAAGAUUUCCAGGGUUUCUGUGAAGACGUUGGGGAAGGAUGGCCUUAACCUUUUCAAGCUUGGAGGGAGCAGACGGGUCUGUGAAUCUGGAGAGGUUUACUUCCACACAUGUAGGAUUGAUCCAAAAGAGGGAUGGCCACUUCCUCUUUAGGAGCCCUGACUCAUCAUUUUCAGUGCAAUCCCAAUUCACAAUUUCUUUGAUAAUUGUUUGUUCCUUGGCCAGAAAUCUGGUUCUUGAAUUCCCUCUCCUGUUCUUUCCAUGAUCUGGCAACCAUCUUUGGGAACCAAUUCCAUCUCCAUUUUAUGGAGCCAGAAGAACAGAGAGGUAGAGCCAUGUCUAGGCAGUGACACAGCAAGCCUACAAGGAGCUGGGAAAUGCCUCCUUAUGUGAAUGCCCUCUUCUUGUCUUUGGAUGCGAAGGGAAAGGAUGUGAUCCCCGAGGAAAAGGGAAGGGUUGUGCAGAGCAGGGUGUGUUAUCAGCUAGAAGAGCACCCGCGCCCAGCCACCUCGAUCUAAAUGUGCACACGAUGGAAAUGUCUUCACAGCCAAGGGCCCCUCCCUCCCAAAGAGAAAAUCCCACAAGUGGGGAACAUCUGGAUCAAACCGCAACCAUGAAAGCACAACAUCAAACGAGAGUUUCAGAGGGACCCUCCCCACAGGCCCUGCUCCAAGAGAAAUUGCAGAUCUUCCUGCUUGAAGCUUUUAAGUGUCACAGAACCACUCAAAUUUGGGAUCUCUCCUUAUUCACCAGAGACAGAUGUCCCCAAGGCUCUGAUGGCUGAGCGUCGGGAGCUGCUGAGUCGGGAUGUCUUGGCAUAAUGGGGUGAAUUGGACACACACACACACACGAAGGAGCCCGGUCCCAGUGAGGUGAGGCCUGAAUGACCCUGCAGGUCGAGAGAAUGCUUGAGCGGGGAUGUUAUGAAAAUGACCAAGGUCAGGAGGGACCCUACAUCUCACUGCCAUUUCUAGGCCCAGGCUGACCUGUGCUCCAGCAACAUCACCUGACACCGAGCUUGGGUUGGAUCAGCUUUGCUCCAUUACCCUCACAGUCCUCCCUGGGGCUGGAGCUGCCUUUGAAGUUGAUGGAGAGAAGAUUGGUGAGCUGUCGCCUGAGCCUAGAUCUCCCAGACAUCAAUGGGGGUCAGGAAUUUGCUUCCUUCCCUUUUUCUCCUUAGUUCACUGUUUAGGAUGAAAAAUGACAACCAGAUGAACAAAAGAAUGAUCAUCAGGAAUGAUAAAUAAUACACUCCAGAUGUGGCCAGAGAGAAAUGUAACUGAAAGCACCGCAGCCUCCAAGCAGUCACGUUAGGGCGACCCCCUCCUUCCAACAAGGCCCCAAUGACACAAGUUCUGUAACUCUUCUUUGGGAAUUGUCUUCAGGGUAUGUGACUCAGUCUUUACAUGUCCUUACUGGUGAUCUUUAUCAUUUGCUUCUCUGGAAUCAGUCACAAAACGAUUUGUAGCUAAUCAUGGUUGUCUUGAGUAUUUUGUAAAAUGGCUAGAAAGUCCAUUUGAAAGGAGUCUUUGCAGAAAUGGUUUAAUCAAGAGAGGUACAGACGGGAUAAGCCUAUUUCCUCCUAAGGUGACUGUUCCGAAGGACAGCCCUUGUUUGUUCUUCCGUGUUUGUUUAGAGAAGCUAAUCACAGAUAUACAUCCCAUACGUACUGUAUUCUGUAUAAUAAAAGAAAGUAUUAGGAUGUCGAAGGCUGUAUGCUAACUGCUUCCCCCUCCUCCUGCUAUUAUGAGUUAAUGCCUCUGACGACAGUGCCCUUGCUUCUGCUGAGGGACGCAGGGAAUAGAGGCGGGGCUGACCCAAGUGAAGAAUUGGUACAAUUUUCCAGGGCAAAGGUUCGGAGUGACAUCUACCCUCGAGAGUUGCCUAACUCCGCACUCCUUUCUGGACUAGCUCUGUGUUCAUUCUUCCAGGGGACUUGGCCAGCUGGGCAGAGCCCUUUUU